rnacentral:lncRNA from 1 species
CAGUGACCGUGUGUUUCUUUGCCAGCACAAAGAGAAAUUUGACCUGUGUCUCUCAGGAGUUAGAGAUUUUCAUCACUGCUGUCCCCACACUAGACCUAUCAACCCCUUCUCCACCCCAACAAAUCAGGAGACUCAAAGAAGAAUAGUGAGGAGAGAGAGAAAGAGAGAAAGGCUGAAGAAACAAGGGAUGGAAACGGUACAGGAAUGCUUAGAUCUCCAUUCAUCCCUCAAAGGAAUAACAUUUGGCAUCUUCUAGGCCUUUUGGAAAAAUGAAUUAUCAGCUGCAGGUAGUUCCAAAACUAGCUAGAACAAUCCUCUACAUCCUGGAAAGUACAGUUCUCUGAGGCCAAGAGCCAGCCACACUUGGGAUGGAAGCUCACACAUGAAAUUCAUCUCAGAUCAGCUCUGCAAUCCUCAAAUCAUUACAAACUCCUUCCAAUAUAACUUGGAGCCAAAAAGUAUGAUCAUUCAAAGUGACUGUACUUGUUUUCAAUGGUCAGGAGUGGCACCUACAUGGCUUAGCAAGUUCCAGUAACAUCAAGGACACCCAAGUAAUAAAAGUAACAAGUAAAGAAAUGUGGAUUUGGGGGAUUCAAAGAACUUUUAAUUAGAAGUUGUGAUUCUGCUCAACCAACAUGGUUUGAUCUAUAGUCCAUCAUGUUCUUCAGGAAGUCUCUAUGGAAUGGUUAACAACUUACAGCCACAGUAUUAGGAAACUUUAAUCAGGUGCAUUUUAAACAAAUUCUCCAAAUCACAGGGCAAUCGAAGAAUAACGAUACAAAUUUAAGUAUCCAUUCAAAUAUGUCUGUCUUUUUAGCCAAAAGCUUGACCUUGGGUCAGCCUGUAUCUAAUAUCUGAACAGCACCCCUGCAAGAUCUUUCUCAAAUUGGAAUGCAAAGUCUUGGGAAGAAUAUUCAAGCAAAAUAGAAUCCCUGAAACUUCAUUUAAAGGCCUCAAAUUUGAACAACUCUAUUUUUCAGAGAUAGUACUGAAUGCUCCAUGAUGAAGAGUGGAAGGACUGAAGCUGAAAUUGUGGGACUAAAUCUUUCCAGAACUCAUGAUAGCUGUUCCUCCACUGCUUAAAAAACAGGCUUCCAGGGCAACAUGGAAUCAGCAUUCAUUCUUGGCAUUUUUGAGUACCUGAAAAUAAUAUAACUAAAACUUAUGAAACUCAAAAUGUUUUUAUCUCCUGUGUUGCUUAGACUUAGAAUUUCUAUUUCUGAAGCCAGAAAAAGAAAGCUAAUCCAAGGGCUUAAUCCACAUCUCUGAAGCCAAGUUCUAUAUUCAGUAAUACUUAAUUGAAAGAUGUGCAACUUAAUUUAGGUUUUUCUUUUAAGAAGCUAGCUCAUGAAAUAAUUUCUGCCUACUCAUUUUGGAUUAUUUCUAAAAACAGAAGGCCCAAAAUUAUUAUCAAUCUAUAUUCUUAACUAUAUGGAGAUCCUAUUUGGGGGUCUUUUCACUGUAAAUAGCAGCAGUGAUGGAGGGAAGGAAAGGGUCUGGUGAGAGAAGACAGAGAGCUAAAACUUCAGGGGACAACAGAAAUACUUUCUUAUUGUUCCUAUGUCCUGUGUCGUAUGUCCAGUGAAGGAGACUCCCCAAGUUGGCUUGCUCGCUAACAAAAAGGAAUGAUGUUGGUAAACAUGGAAUCAGUGAGAUUGUUACUCCUCAGGUUCCUGUAUGGACUGGUGAUUGUUAUCUAUAUAUAAUCUCCAUUUUCUUUUAAUUCUACUAAAACAGUGGUUAAGAUAUAAAUUCCAAUUAGGUAAUAAACUUUGCCAAAGAAAAAACAGAGAGAACUCUUUAUAUGAAGUAAAUUUCUCAGACUAGAGUAAUUGGGACACCUCAUUCUCACUAUACUUGGUUUGCUCACAAUAGUUAUUUCGAUUUAAUUUUUGGGAAGUGAAUAACUGGUUCCCCUGCAACCUACAUUUAUUUCUUCUUCUUUUUUAUUUAAGCAUGGAAAAG